GAUGAAGAUGAUGAAGAUGACGAUGAAGAGACCACAUCUGCUGUGACAGAAGUGGACAAUGCUGGUAGAUCCACUGAGUACAUACCUGGGGAUUUGCCCACAGAUGAAGGUCCUUCAACCUCAAUGCACAAUCUAAGCAGUUUGCCAGCAAAGGAGCUGUAUAAGGUCCAUCUUCAAAAACAAAUAAGAAAAAGUGACAUGGAGAUGGACCUUAUACAGCUUCAAAUGGAGGAGAAAAGGCUAUCCAUUAAAAAAGCAACGCUAGAAAUUGAAUUACUGGAGCAUCGCCUUAAGGUGAGAACUUGU